UCUCUUCAUGUUAGGGAGAGGAAACUUUUUCUGUUCUCAGUCAUUUCUUCCAAGUCUAUCACAAGCUUGCUUAAGAGUCUCUCCAUCUCUCUCACCGUAACUCUGUCGUGGUUUACAGAUCCUGAGUUAUUUGUAGAAUAUUUCAAUGCUGAGAUCUGCAUAAGGAGGCUUCGGAAAAAAUUACUGACAUGAUAUCUGGAACUACUUCAUUAAAGGCUUCAAUCAGACAUGGGUCCAGAACAAAGACAUGAAACAUCAAAUGUUGGCAUGGAAACAAAGAAAGAGAAACAGAGGAAGGAAGAUAUGGCCCUUACUAAUAUUUGCUAUCAUAUGGGUGAUAUGGAAUGAAAGAAACCAAAGGGUAAUGGCUGGGAAAAGAGGAAGAGAAGCCAAAGUGACCAUUGAUGAAGUCAAAAGCACCAUAAUAUACCUAUGGACAUCAACAUCAAACUGGUUCAAAUUCAUACACUUCAGUCAACUCAUAACACACUGGAAUCUCAUAAUGGAAGGGAAAGUAUAACUGUUUUGUAACUGAAUGAGGUACUUAUGUAAUCUAUUUUCCUUUUUAUUAAUAAAAUUAUAACCUUUUCUUCUCAAAAAAAAAAA